UACGUAGGGUGCAAGCGUUAAUCGGAAUUAUUGGGCGUAAAGCGCGCGCAGGCGGUCAUUUAAGUCUGGUGUUUAAUCCCGGGGCUCAACCCCGGAUCGCACUGGAAACUGGGUGACUUGAGUGCAGAAGAGGAGAGUGGAAUUCCACGUGUAGCGGUGAAAUGCGUAGAGAUGUGGAGGAACACCAGUGGCGAAGGCGACUCUCUGGGCUGUAACUGACGCUGAGGCGCGAAAGCGUGGGGAGCAAACAGG
rnacentral:rRNA from 1 species